rnacentral:rRNA from 1 species
GACGAACGCUGGCGGCAUGCCUAACACAUGCAAGUCGAACGGAGUUGAACGCUGAACGGAGGGUGGCUUGCCACCGGAAGUUCUUGUUCAGCUUAGUGGCGGACGGGCGAGUAACGCGUGAGCAACCUGCCCCUCAGUGGGGAAUAACGACCGGAAACGGUCGCUAAUACCGCAUAACGUCACGGGACCGCAUGAUCCUGUGACCAAAGAUUUAUCGCUGAGGGAUGGGCUCGCGUCCGAUUAGGUAGUUGGUAGGGUAACGGCCUACCAAGCCGACGAUCGGUAGCCGAACUGAGAGGUUGAUCGGCCGCAUUGGGACUGAGACACGGCCCAGACUCCUACGGGAGGCAGCAGUGGGGGAUAUUGCACAAUGGGGGAAACCCUGAUGCAGCAAUGCCGCGUGAGGGAAGAAGGUCUUCGGAUUGUAAACCUAAGUAGUCAGGGACGAUAAUGACGGUACCUGAAGAGUAAGCUCCGGCUAACUACGUG